rnacentral:rRNA from 1 species
UAAGCGGAGGAAAAGAAACCAACAGGGAUUGCCCCAGUAACGGCGAGUGAAGCGGCAACAGCUCAAAUUUGAAAUCUGGCUCUCGGGCCCGAGUUGUAAUUUGUAGAGGAUGCUUUUGGUGAGGUGCCUUCCGAGUUCCCUGGAACGGGACGCCAUAGAGGGUGAGAGCCCCGUCUGGUUGGACACCGAUCCUCUGUAAAGCUCCUUCGACGAGUCGAGUAGUUUGGGAAUGCUGCUCUAAAUGGGAGGUAUAUGUCUUCUAAAGCUAAAUACCGGCCAGAGACCGAUAGCGCACAAGUAGAGUGAUCGAAAGAUGAAAAGAACUUUGAAAAGAGAGUUAAACAGUACGUGAAAUUGUUGAAAGGGAAGCGCUUGUGACCAGACUUGGGCUUGGUUGAUCAUCCGGGGUUCUCCCCGGUGCACUCUUCCGGCUCAGGCCAGCAUCAGUUCGCCCUGGGGGAUAAAGGCUUCGGGAAUGUGGCUCUCUCCGGGGAGUGUUAUAGCCCGCUGCGUAAUACCCUGUGGCGGACUGAGGUUCGCGCAUUCGCAAGGAUGCUGGCGUAAUGGUCAUCAGUGACCCGUCUUGAAACACGGACCAAGGAGUCGUCUUCGUAUGCGAGUGUUCGGGUGUCAAACCCCUACGCGAAAUGAAAGUGAACGCAGGUGAGAGCUUCGGCGCAUCAUCGACCGAUCCUGAUGUUAUCGGAUGGAUUUGAGUAAGAGCAUACGGGGCCGGACCCGAAAGAAGGUGAACUAUGCCUGUGUAGGGUGAAGCCAGAGGAAACUCUGGUGGAGGCUCGCAGCGGUUUCUGACGUGCAAAUCGAUCGUCAAACAUGGGCAUGGGGCGAAAGACUAAUCGAACCUUCUAGUAGCUGGUUUCC